rnacentral:rRNA from 1 species
UACGUAGGUGGCGAGCGUUGUCCGGAUUUACUGGGCGUAAAGGGAGCGUAGGCGGACUUUUAAGUGAGAUGUGAAAUACCCGGGCUCAACUUGGGUGCUGCAUUUCAAACUGGAAGUCUAGAGUGCAGGAGAGGAGAAUGGAAUUCCUAGUGUAGCGGUGAAGUGCGUAGAGAUUAGGAAGAACACCAGUGGCGAAGGCGAUUCUCUGGACUGUAACUGACGCUGAGGCUCGAAAGCGUGGGGAGCAAACAGGAUUAGAUACCCCUGUA